rnacentral:rRNA from 1 species
GUGCCAGCAGCGCGGGUAAUACGGAGGAGGCAAGCGUUAUCCGGAAUUAUUGGGCGUAAAGCGUUCGCAGGUGGCUGUUCAAGUCUGCUGUCAAAGACCGGAGCUUAACUCCGGAAAGGCGGUGGAAACUGAAGAGCUAGAGUGCGGUAGGGGUAGAGGGAAUUCCCAGUGUAGCGGUGAAAUGCGUAGAGAUUGGGAAGAACACCGGUGGCGAAAGCGCUCUACUAGGCCGCAACUGACACUCAGGGACGAAAGCUAGGGGAGCGAAUGGGAUUAGAUACCCCAGUAGUCCUAGCUGUAAACGAUGGGUACUAGGCGUAGCUUGUAUCGACCCGAGCUGUGCCGAAGCUAACGCGUUAAGUACCCCGCCUGGGGAGUACGCACGCAAGUGUGAAACUCAAAGGAAUUGACGGGGGCCCGCACAAGCGGUGGAGUAUGUGGUUUAAUUCGAUGCAACGCGAAGAACCUUACCAGGGCUUGACAUCCGGCGAAUUCUCUGGAAACAGAGAAGUGCCUACGGGAGCGCCGUGACAGGUGGUGCAUGGCUGUCGUCAGCUCGUGUCGUGAGAUGUUGGGUUAAGUCCCGCAACGAGCGCAACCCUCGUCCUUAGUUGCCAGCAUUAAGUUGGGCACUUUAGGGAGACUGCCGGUGACAAACCGGAGGAAGGUGGGGAUGACGUCAAGUCAGCAUGCCCCUUACGUCCUGGGCAACACACGUACUACAAUGGUCGAGACAAAGGGCAGCCAACUCGCAAGAGUGAGCGAAUCUCAGCAAACUCGGCCUCAGUUCAGAUCGCAGGCUGCAACUCGCCUGCGUGAAGGAGGAAUCGCUAGUA